rnacentral:rRNA from 1 species
GAUGAACGCUGGCGGCGUGCCUAAUACAUGCAAGUCGAGCGAACGGACGAGAAGCUUGCUUCUCUGAUGUUAGCGGCGGACGGGUGAGUAACACGUGGAUAACCUACCUAUAAGACUGGGAUAACUUCGGGAAACCGGAGCUAAUACCGGAUAAUAUUUUGAACCGCAUGGUUCAAAAGUGAAAGACGGUCUUGCUGUCACUUAUAGAUGGAUCCGCGCUGCAUUAGCUAGUUGGUAAGGUAACGGCUUACCAAGGCAACGAUGCAUAGCCGACCUGAGAGGGUGAUCGGCCACACUGGAACUGAGACACGGUCCAGACUCCUACGGGAGGCAAAAGUAGGGAAUCUUCCGCAAUGGGCGAAAGCCUGACGGAGCAACGCCGCGUGAGUGAUGAAGGUCUUCGGAUCGUAAAACUCUGUUAUUAGGGAAGAACAUAUGUGUAAGUAACUGUGCACAUCUUGACGGUACCUAAUCAGAAAGCCACGGCUAACUACGUGCCAGCAGCCGCGGUAAUACGUAGGUGGCAAGCGUUAUCCGGAAUUAUUGGGCGUAAAGCGCGCGUAGGCGGUUUUUUAAGUCUGAUGUGAAAGCCCACGGCUCAACCGUGGAGGGUCAUUGGAAACUGGAAAACUUGAGUGCAGAAGAGGAAAGUGGAAUUCCAUGUGUAGCGGUGAAAUGCGCAGAGAUAUGGAGGAACACCAGUGGCGAAGGCGACUUUCUGGUCUGUAACUGACGCUGAUGUGCGAAAGCGUGGGGAUCAAACAGGAUUAGAUACCCUGGUAGUCCACGCCGUAAACGAUGAGUGCUAAGUGUUAGGGGGUUUCCGCCCCUUAGUGCUGCAGCUAACGCAUUAAGCACUCCGCCUGGGGAGUACGACCGCAAGGUUGAAACUCAAAGGAAUUGACGGGGACCCGCACAAGCGGUGGAGCAUGUGGUUUAAUUCGAAGCAACGCGAAGAACCUUACCAAAUCUUGACAUCCUUUGACAACUCUAGAGAUAGAGCCUUCCCCUUCGGGGGACAAAGUGACAGGUGGUGCAUGGUUGUCGUCAGCUCGUGUCGUGAGAUGUUGGGUUAAGUCCCGCAACGAGCGCAACCCUUAAGCUUAGUUGCCAUCAUUAAGUUGGGCACUCUAAGAUGACUGCCGGUGACAAACCGGAGGAAGGUGGGGAUGACGUCAAAUCAUCAUGCCCCUUAUGAUUUGGGCUACACACGUGCUACAAUGGACAAUACAAAGGGCAGCGAAACCGCGAGGUCAAGCAAAUCCCAUAAAGUUGUUCUCAGUUCGGAUUGUAGUCUGCAACUCGACUACAUGAAGCUGGAAUCGCUAGUAAUCGUAGAUCAGCAUGCUACGGUGAAUACGUUCCCGGGUCU